AUGUUGGAGUCAAUGAGAGUUUUCACAUCGAUAUUUAUGGGAAAGAGAAUCCCAUGGAACACGUGGAGUCCCUCUGUCAGGAUAUUGGCUGCUCUAAUGGGAGAGCAAUUGUGUUAUGAUGCUGGGACAGACCCUGAAGCCUCUUGUGAUGCUGCAGCAGCAGAGCCGACCUUACACUGACCUGAUUGACCUGACCUGACUGAGCAUCGAUUUCCUGCAGCUCUUACCCAGAGGGCAGGUACCACCACACUGACAGAAAAUUACAGGGAAUUAAGGACUUUGUCUGGAAAUAAAGGAUGAGCCAGGCACCUGAUUUGGCUCUGU
rnacentral:lncRNA from 1 species